UGCAUCGUAAUAAAUUAGGUACAGCCUUAAACUUUAAGUUGAGUCAACUGAACUUUAUAAAACAUUUUAAACUUAUACAAUUACAUUUUUACAGAGUAAGUGUCACAGAAGGGACGACAUUCAGUUCAGUAAUAUAACAGGACGUCAGGCUUGGAGACUGGAGACGGAUACCACAGACAGCAAACAGGAUGAAGACUAAACGAGGAACCAGGAGACACCUCACUAGGAGAGACACUGGAACUCACAGGAGAUGUGCUUGUGGUGCUUCAGUGAGUGGAAAACCUGGUCUUAAUGGGGCAGUAAGUGGUUGUCAGAUAUUUCCUUCAGAUAGACAGAAAUAGAUACAAUAUUUUUGUUUGUAUGCUUCAUUUGUAUAUCGCUAUCUAACUUAACAUUUGCAGAUUGUUAUUUGUUAUAUGAUCGGAUAAAUUGAUCUGUUCUAAUUUAUUUGUAUGCUGUCAGAGUUACCACAUUGAAUAUUACUGCACGUCUGUUGUCAGAUAGAUUGUCUGGCUGUUGUAUUAUUUAUUAGUAAUUUAUGCUGUCGGCCUGUUCAACAUUUGUAGCUUUUGAUUGUUAUUUGUUUUAUUUACAGUUUUACUAAUUAUUGUAGCACAUUUAUCUCUUCUAAGUUUAUAGAUUGUCAUCUAGUAGAGUAUUUACUUAUAGGUGUGAAAUAUUAUUUGUUAGUUUUAGAACAGAACCAGACUGGAGACAAUGGUAGAUGAAACUUCCAAAGAAUGGUAUUAGAUUAAUGAAUGACUUGACAUCUUUCUAUUGUAUUUUACAGAUCAGAUGGCACCACAUGGAGAAAAGAAGGAAUCACACACCUCAGCAAUGACUGGAUGGUCAGGAAUUUAAUUU